ACGAUCAGAUCCCCUCCAGCCGUUCCCUCCUCGCCGCCCCUCCCUCCUCGCGCAUCUCUUCUCUCCGCGCCGCGCCGCUCCCAUCCCCUACCCGCACAUUAGGGUUGCAAGCGGGGCGGGCCCGUGUCGCUGAAGCGGACCAUGUGGCUCUGGUCGCGGUGCCCCCGCAAACCCGCGUCCCGCCUACCUCGUCCUCGUCCUCGCCGGCAAGGCACCGCGUGAGGUGCGAGCUCAUCUUCCCUCGCGCCCGCCAGCAAGGAAACUAGGAGGCCUGGUGUGGGGAUGGCGGCGGAUGCGAGCUCUGUGGCCAUGCUGCUUCGCGGGGAGGCGGGGAAGAAGGGCGGGCCGGAGAUAGUGACGAUGGAUCUUCUGAGCAGCUACCGCGGCAACGCCGCCGCGGAGGACGAGGUGGUCGACCUCGAGGUCUCGCCGUCUCGGUGCCUGCCGGGUUCGAGCGAUGGCUUGACUUCCUGGUGAGUGGAUUCUAUCCUCUUUAUUCCUUGGUCAAAAUCAUGGUGGGAGAUGCACUAAUCCUGGUGAGUGGAUUCUAUCCUCUUUAUUAGUCUCAUCAGCGCACGCGCAUGAGAUGUCGUUGUUGCAUAAUCCCGCUCAACUAUUUGCCCAACCAUGUUCAUAAUUUCUCUGUGUAGAAUUUUUUAAGGUGGCCUGGAGGUCCUCAACUUCGACAUCUAGUAAUCAUUAAUCUUUGUUUAACUCCUCUCUCCUGGAGAGAGCGUGUGCUAAGGCAAGCGGCCUGGAGAGCAAGCUGCUCUGCACAGCAGCAGGUCGGCAGCAGCAGGUCGCCAUGAACAUCAUUGGCAGACUGAGGAUGAUCAUAUGCAAGGAACAGAGAUGAUCUUUUAUCUCCAUACUUUCUAUGCUUCUAAGUUUAAGCUUAAGAUGUAAUGCUAGCUGUGUCGCUGGGUGAGACUUGCACAUGAUCUGUUGGAUUUGAUUUUCUUUUUCUAUUUGUACAAAAUUAUGAUGCCAUUAUGGUUUUUUGGCUAUAAUCUUGUGCUGAAAUUAUAAUGUUGAAAUGGGCUUUAUGGGUUGAAAUUUUAAUCUAAGAUGGCUGUGUUGGGCCAGAA